GGGGUGUGACUCAGGUGGUGGAGUGCUUGCUUUGCAUGCAAAAGGCCCUGGUUCAAUUGCCAACACCACCC
rnacentral:tRNA from 1 species